rnacentral:lncRNA from 1 species
CCAUUGACGGGGUGAGACGAGAUGAUCCCUGAAGAAGCACGACCUUGUUGGAGAGCUUGGCGUCGGCAUGAUCAUGACCAAUUGAUGCUUCUCCUCGUCAUGGAGGAACUCUCCUCCUAUCCUAUCGCUCGUGCCAAGCAAGUGAUGACCGUCCCGAGUACUGGACGUAGAUCAAAGCCAUCUCGGAAUCCUCCAUCAAAGCCUCUUCCAUUACUGGGCACGAGCUUCCUUGUCGGCAACGUCUCACCAUUUCCAUCUCGUUUCUGUUCUUGUGAAGAUUGCGCCGGUUGCGGCAUGCUCGCAAGUAACAAAGCCUUGCUGUCCCCGAGCUUAUCUUGGUGUGAACUGUGCUUCACUUAACUCCCAAAACAUGUAGAACUCGGUAGUG